rnacentral:rRNA from 1 species
AUUGAACGCUGGCGGCAGGCCUAACACAUGCAAGUCGAGCGGAUGAAGGGAGCUUGCUCCUGGAUUCAGCGGCGGACGGGUGAGUAAUGCCUAGGAAUCUGCCUGGUAGUGGGGGAUAACGUCCGGAAACGGGCGCUAAUACCGCAUACGUCCUGAGGGAGAAAGUGGGGGAUCUUCGGACCUCACGCUAUCAGAUGAGCCUAGGUCGGAUUAGCUAGUUGGUGGGGUAAAGGCCUACCAAGGCGACGAUCCGUAACUGGUCUGAGAGGAUGAUCAGUCACACUGGAACUGAGACACGGUCCAGACUCCUACGGGAGGCAGCAGUGGGGAAUAUUGGACAAUGGGCGAAAGCCUGAUCCAGCCAUGCCGCGUGUGUGAAGAAGGUCUUCGGAUUGUAAAGCACUUUAAGUUGGAAAGAAGGGCAGUAAGUUAAUACCUUGCUGUUUUGACGUUACCAACAGAAUAAGCACCGGCUAACUUCGUG